CGUAAUUUAAGCAGUGGUUGUCAAUCUUUUUAACUGUGGUUACUGUUAAGGUUAUAUUUUGAAUUUUGUAAUAUGUACUUGUAAAUAGACAAUUUUACCCUGAAAUACGGGCUCUCAGUUUUAAGAAUAUUGUAUCAGAUUAAAAUAUAUAAUUUUUAUUGCGAAUUUAAUUGAUAACAAUUAAAAAAAAUAGUUUUUGAAAACGUUUAAAAUCUGUCGAAUUAAAAUUAAAUGAUAACUUAUUAAUAUGCAAUAAUUAUAGUGUCUUUAAAUGAAACAACAUUUUUAUUACGUUCGUUUGUUAAGAAGUGCCUGAUAUUUUUUUAGCGCGGUUUGUGGCAGAAACGGAGCCUUACGACGACGAUUUAACUCAGAUGGAGGAGGAGAGACCUACAAAGCGACCAUGCAUAGAAGGAAAUCUCCAAAAUUACACUGAAGACAACUCGAUGAAGGUUCUGUUUGAAAAUGAUUCUCAAGACUGGGAUGACGACAAUAAUAACUAUCAAACAUGUGACAUUUCAACAAAUACGAAAAACUUAAAUCUUACUGAAAGCAGCACUCAAACUAAUACUACAGGUGAUAAUUCUAAGUAUAUAGAAAUGGCCAACGAAAGCUUUGGCAUUUUUAUUGGACGUGAACUUGCCAAUGUGCCAAUGUUUAAAAGGCGCUUUGUUAUGUAUCAGAUUAUUAGACUGAUUGAAAACAAUUCAUAAAUUAAUAAUUAAGGUCUCUGAUAAUUGGGUUGAAAGUUAUGUAAUGAUAGAAACGCAAAAGAAUCUAUGAAUGAUUAUUAAUAAAUACUAUCAAUAUA